GACCCGAUAGCUCAGUGGUAGAGCGUUACCAUCGAGAGGUGGAGGUCCUUGGUUCAAACCCAGGUCAGGUCA
rnacentral:tRNA from 1 species